CACCAGGAAGCAAGCAAAGGGGAAAGAUUGGAUUUUACUCUCCUCCCCCCACACCACUUUCUGUUUCCCUCUCAACUGAUUUGACUGCUUUUUUCAGAAAUGGAAAACAACAUCCGCCCUCCAAUUUAGAUCUCCUUCACAUGCUGGGAAGACAUCCAACUCCUGGGCCCCCCUUGAAAGGCAUCUAUUCUAAGCCUUGCCAGAAGUAUCAUGUCCCAAUGAAUCCUAAAAGAAGUCUACACUGAAGGCAACUCAAUUUUGGACAUGUUAAAGGAUCAAAUCUCAAGAUAACAGAUGAAAGGAUACCUAAUACUAGGAAUAUCUUAGAUGUUAUUAUCUUAAAAAGGUGACUGAAAUAUUAAUAACUACCAAUCCACCCACCUCCAUUCAUGUCUGUACAAAAAUGUAAUGCAAAUGGUCUGUAUAUAUACAAAAAAGAAUUUUUAUAAUACUUAAUUUUUUUAUCCAUUACAUGUAAAAAUAAAAAUUAAC
rnacentral:lncRNA from 1 species